rnacentral:misc_RNA from 1 species
UUUCCGCAGGUGAACCUGCGGAAGGAUCAUUACUGAGUGAGGGCCCCUCGGGGUCCAACCUCCCACCCGUGUUUAACGAACCUUGUUGCUUCGGCGGGCCCGCCUCACGGCCGCCGGGGGGCAUCUGCCCCCGGGCCCGCGCCCGCCGAAGCCACCUGUGAACGCUGUCUGAAGUAUGCAGUCUGAGACAAUUAUUAAAUUAAUUAAAACUUUCAACAACGGAUCUCUUGGUUCCG